UCUUGCUGCUCAGCUGAAUACAAGGCCUCAGUGGUUUGCUGGGCUUUGGUGAGAUCUUAAAGGCAAACCUCUCUCGGCGCAAGGAAGGAGCCAUGCAGUUGUAUCUGUACUCGAUGUCCACAGCCAUCAUGGGGCUAGAUGAACAGGCUAGAACCCUGGAAAGGGAAGAGAAGAAAGAAAACAGUGGAGCAAUCAGAUCAGACAGAUGUGUAAAGGCAUCAUUCCAGCAGGGACUGGCAAACAAUAUUUCCUUUUAUCUAUGCCCACAUGGCUACAGGUCCACGUAUGCUCAGAUUCUCUUCUGCCUCUGCCGCCCCUGAGACAGCAAGACCAACCCCUUCUCCUCCUCUUCCUCCUCCUCAGCCUACUCAACGUGAAGAGGAUGAGAAUGACGACCUUUAUGAUGACCCACAUCCACUUAAUGAACAGUAAAUAUAUUUUCUCUUUCCUA
rnacentral:antisense_RNA from 1 species